ACUACGUGCGUUAUUGCGCUCAUCAUUGCGUUUAGAAAUUUUUAUAGUAUUUUGCGUUUCGGGGUCUUUAGUUUUCGGUCAGGAAAAGAGAGUCGCGACUAAGUAAAAGAAAGAUUUUAUCUUUGAAAUCCUCAUUUCAUCGCUUAGACAGAAACGCGCAUUGGAAUUGCGGUAUUAAUCCAGUUAAUAAAUUGUUCAGUCUGUAUCGAAAUAGAUAAAUAAAGUAAAAGUUGAUAAUAAACUAUAUUCGAGUUCAAGUAAUAAACCCAACAAAAACUUCGACGACCACCGGAGCAGCUGAGGUAAUGGCACCAGACAGCACCUACUCCUCAAGGUAAGAAAAUUAAUUUUGAAAAUUUCCUUCUUCUCUGAUAAUUUCGUUGCCCUCGAGAAUCGAAUUAGAACUUCCUAUCAUCGAUCUCGUUCUAUUUUCGUGAACGUUUUGAAGAUAGAAUCAUUGUUUAAACUUUAAACAAAGGAGUUGUCCGCUGUGUCGGCUUGUGCGAACGGUGUUUUCAGCUAUUGAAACACCCACUGAUCUUCGCAUUCCUCCUCCCAUUGUUGGUAAAAUAUUACCCGUCUUUGGGCAAGGCUUGCGAAAUCACACAAGUCCCGCACAGAGAAGAC